CGUGCUUCAGUUUGUUGAAUAUAUUCAGCUUAACAUUGCUCAAUAUGUUGAGCAACAGUUAUCUGAAGCUAGAUAAAUUGAUCCCCUCGCUAUCCAGUUUUCUAAUCUAGUUAGAUCAUUCGGACGUUGGGGAACUAUAUUU